rnacentral:lncRNA from 1 species
UUUUCUUCAAAAAAAUUAUUUAAGUUUUUGGGUUGAUGGGGUUAUCAACUUUCACCUCUCCCAACAUGUAUCAUGGAAAUUGUCCUUUUGUUUUGAUGAAAGACAGAGAUAUUGAGGAGUUCCCUCUUCUGAUAAUGACAAUGAAUGAAGUUCUUAGCUUCCAGUUGUCUUGUUGCAAUUCCUCCCUCUGAAUUUAUGGCUGACCCCCACCCCUCUCCCUCCCUCCCUCCCUCACUGUCAAUUUUUCCCCUCUUUUCUUUUCACCAUUCCUCUUUCUGCUAACUUCCCACUUACUACUUCUGGAUCCUUUUUCAUUUUUUUCCCACCCUAUUCCAAUUUCAAUUUCGGUUUCGGUUUCCUUCCCAGUGCAAUUUU